GGGGAUGACAGGCAUCGACGAGGAAUUUGCACUUUUAAAAAUGGUUAGGGCGGAUCUAUCCGACAAAUAGAAAAAUCAUAAUUGCUAAUGAAAAAUCAGAAGCAGUUGAAUUUGCUUAUGCACAAAAACUUGCUUAUGCAGGUAACUAUGCAUUCGUAAACUAACAACCUCGGUCUAAGUUUUGCUUAAUUCAAUUUAGAUUAGAGAUUAACCAAUUAAGAUAAGGUUCUCUCUCGUUACCAAUUGGGUUGAGAAUCGAUAACAAUCAAUUGGCUUCCCGACGAUUUUUGAUUAUUUUUAUAGUCGGGAAAGAGUUAAAAAUAUUCUAUCUCUAACUAAACUUUUUUAGAAGUGUUUCCCCGGACCCGGGUCCAAUUCCCGGCAUCUCCACCG
rnacentral:tmRNA from 1 species